GUUUCCCGUAAGGCGCCGAAUGAGUCAUUAUAAAAUUAACAUCAUCCGAUCCCUAGUCGGCAUAGUUUAUGGUUAAGACUACGACGGUAUCUGAUCGUCUUCGAUCCCCUAACUUUCGUUCUUGAUUAAUGAAAACAUCCUUGGCAAAUGCUUUCGCAGUAGUUAGUCUUCAAUAAAUCCAAGAAUUUCACCUCUGACAAUUGAAUACUAAUGCCCCCAACUAUCCCUAUUAAUCAUUACGUCAAUCCUAGAAACCAACAAAAUAGGAUCGUUCGUCCUAUUUCAUUAUUCCAUGCUAAUGUAUUCAAGCGUUAGCUUGCUUUAAACACUCUAAUUUUUUCAAAGUAACAGUCCUGUUUCCCCGCAACACCAACUUAAUGGCAUUACGGUUCUACAAGAAGGAGGAAUCAGUGAGACCAGUGCAUACCAGUGGCACGACCAACCUACUGACCCCGAAAUUCAACUACGAGCUUUUUAACUGCAACAACUUUAAUAUACGCUAUUGGAGCUGGAAUUACCGCGGCUGCUGGCACCAGACUUGCCCUNCAA
rnacentral:rRNA from 1 species